rnacentral:rRNA from 1 species
AACGAACGCUGGCGGCAGGCUUAACACAUGCAAGUCGAGCGCCCCGCAAGGGGAGCGGCAGACGGGUGAGUAACGCGUGGGAAUCUACCCAGCUCUACGGAACAACUCCGGGAAACUGGAGCUAAUACCGUAUACGUCCUUCGGGAGAAAGAUUUAUCGGAGUUGGAUGAGCCCGCGUUGGAUUAGCUAGUUGGUGGGGUAAUGGCCUACCAAGGCGACGAUCCAUAGCUGGUCUGAGAGGAUGAUCAGCCACACUGGGACUGAGACACGGCCCAGACUCCUACGGGAGGCAGCAGUGGGGAAUAUUGGACAAUGGGCGAAAGCCUGAUCCAGCCAUGCCGCGUGAGUGAUGAAGGCCCUAGGGUUGUAAAGCUCUUUCACCGGUGAAGAUAAUGACGGUAACCGGAGAAGAAGCCCCGGCUAACUUCGUGCCAGCCGCCGCCGUAACAC